ACAUUUUUGUACCUUUUUUUUUUUUUACAAUGAUAUCUAAAGAUAACAUUAAAAAUCUAGAUCUUUUGUAUAGUAAUUACAGUAUUUUUAAUAGCUAUACAUUUGUAAGUAAACUAUUUGUUUUUUUUUUUCUAUUUCAAAUGCUGAGCAUACAUAACUAAACUGGAAGAACAGAUGAAGUCCAAAACGCUAAAGCAACAGACAACCCAGAUGAAAAAAAAGUAGGCUACAUCCUGCUGAUUCACAGACCAAGAUAAUGUUCCUCCUGCUGAUUCACAGAUCAAGAUAAAGUUCCUCCUGCUGAUUUACAGACACUUGUAUGAGCUACUUGUGAUUAAGAACUGACUUCAAAUGAUAGCAAGAGGAUGAUUUAAGCAUACAUAACUAAACUGGAAAAACAGAUGAAGUCCAAAAUGCUAAAGCAACAGACAACCCAGAUCAAGAUAAAGUAGGCUACAUCCUGCUGAUUCACAGACCAAGAUAAAGAACAUCCUGCUGAUUCACAGACCAAGAUAAAGAACAUCCUGCUGAUUCACAGACCAAGAUAAAGUUCCUCCUGCUGAUUUACAGACACUUGUAUGGGCAGCUACUUGUGAUUAAGAACUGACUUCAAAUGAUAGCAAGAGGAUGAUUUAAGCAUACAUAACUAAACUGGAAGAACAGAUGAAGUCCAAAACGCUAAAGCAACAGACAACCCAGAUUCAGAUAUAAAUUGUUGCUGUUCCAGAAGUAGUGCAUUUGCCAACAUAGUAAAUUCACUGGAGUCAUUAACUUACGAGUGAUGUUCAUAACAUUUGUACUCAAAUGUUUGGCAAGUUCACAAUGCCAGCAACACUUGCUCAGUAAUGUUACCUACUAUCAGAUGUUGGGGAAAAACUUUUCAUUUGUGGUAGUCUCAAGAAAAAUUCAAUAUUUUUCUCAAUACAAUUUUUGAGACAGAUAACAAAAUGUUUUGGUCAGUGUAUUCUGAGUGAAACAACUGAAGGUCAUUCAGCAUUAUAGAAAUAUGUACCUGUCUACUGGCCUCGCUAUGAAGAUAGAGAGUAAGCUACAUCCUAUUACUCUAGAAAAAGAACAGUCUAUAGAUGAAUGGAACUAGCUCCUUUGGGCUUGAAAACUCCAUAUAUCAAAAAAAUAUGCAUCAAGUCAGUCUCUCAAGUUAUUUGAAUAGAUCAAGUAGUGGAGCAUACAGAUGGAGUAACAGGCAAGAAGUAGAGACAUCAAGAACUGUGCAAUCACGUUGCAGAGCACAAUCGAUCUUUAGCAUACAGUUGAAUGGAACAAUUAUCUACUUAGAACAGUCAAACUAUAGAAGCUACAUGUCCACAAGUUGUUGUAUUUUUCCUUUAAGGCAAGUAGUCUUUUAAAUUAAUAAUAAUUAUCUAUAAUAAGCAAAAUUGUAUUUUUUCUUAAUAUAUGCAUAGUACAGAACAUGCAAGCUAUGAAAAUGAUUAUACAAUAGAGCAAAGCAAGUAAUUUUCCAUUUUUUGUUGUUGCUGUUGAUCUGUUGUUAUGCAUGCUCAUUGAGAAUGCUUUCCUUUCCAAUAACAUUUGAAGAAUAACAAUUUCAUUCAGUCCCAUAACAUUGUUUUUUAAGCUAGUACAAUUUAGAAGUAAUCAACAAGCUUAGUAAAAAUGUCAUUAUCUUCAGCAAGAUUUAAACAUAUUGUUGGUUAGACUGCCUAAUGUUUUAUCCAUUUAUCAUUUCAAUCAUUAUCACAUUUUGAAUUUUGCAGUUCAGGUGUCUGAGUACAUUCUAACACUAUAAAGCAGCAUACAGACGAAUAAAACCAUCAUCUACCAGGGACAGGCAAAAUAAAUAAAAAUAACAUGUUUAAUAAGAAUCGCAGCAAAGAUGUCCAAAAGAUUUUCUUCCUUAAGGCAAGUAAUUUUCUAAAGUACUAUAAUUUAGGUAUAUAAAAUUAAAUUUUGUUUCUUUUGACCAAUGCAUAGUCCAGAACAGCGGAAUUGAAUUUAUUGAUAAAACUCAACAAAGCAAGUAAAAUCUUUUUUUGUUUAGAUUUAUGCAUGCUAAUUUGAGAAUAUGUAUUAUGUUUCAAUAACAUUCUAAGAAUAUUUCUACUAAUGCUUUUGUAAUUUAUUUUCCACUUUUGCAUAAGUUUGACAUAAGUUCAUCUCCUGGCAUAGCAUUUAUAGAGCACAAUCCUGAGUAUGCAACUAUCUAAGUUCAUUUAAACACAAAUUUGGUUAGACAGCCCAAUGCUCUUUUCAUUCAUUUAAUAAUAUUCUUCAGAUCAAGUUGCAGAAAUCUAAAUGUUUCAUACAAAAAGAAAGAAAGAAAAAAAAAAAAGAGGCAUGCAGAGAAAUGAAACCAUCAUCUGAUAGGGACAUGCAAAAUAUAAAAAUCACAGCAAGGAAUUUUUAUUCUAUAUGGCGAGUAGUCUUUUAAAAUACUAUGUUUUAGCUGUAUGUACUUAUAUAUAUGUAUAUAGUUAGUUUCUUUCAAUGUAUGCAUUGCGUAUGAAUGGUAGGAAACUCCAG